rnacentral:rRNA from 1 species
UACGAAGGGUGCAAGCGUUACUCGGAAUUACUGGGCGUAAAGCGUGCGUAGGUGGUUCGUUAAGUCUGAUGUGAAAGCCCUGGGCUCAACCUGGGAAUGGCAUUGGAAACUGGCGACCUAGAGUGCGGUAGAGGGUAGUGGAAUUCCCGGUGUAGCAGUGAAAUGCGUAGAGAUCGGGAGGAACAUCCGUGGCGAAGGCGACUACCUGGACUAGCACUGACACUGAGGCACGAAAGCGUGGGGAGCAAACAGG